UGGGAUGUAUGCCUAGGGAGGGGCUCUGGGAGAGGCCCUGAAGGAAGGCCAAUCUAGGAAGAGGCCCAGGGAGACAGCAGACCUUAGCUGCUUGCUCCAGGGUCCCUGGCCUGGAGCCUAGAGAGGGAGAGUCUGGGUUCCCCUGGGAAAGGUGAUGCGGACACCCCCUGAGACAAGAUGGAGAAGGACUAUUGAGUUUGGAGCCAGGGAGAAAGCCCUGGAGGCCUAAGUUGCAUUCCCCUCUUGGAAGAGGUUGCUCCUGUUGGGAAAGAGUUAAGAGAGUAUUGCUGAUCACGAGUGCAGGUGCCUGGUGGCAGUGAUUCCCUAGAGAGAGGAUCUAGGGGGUGUGCUGAGCAGUCCUGAGGAAGGAGGCCCUGGGGAGAAGGUCUGAAGUGAAUUUUAUGUGUACUCUGGUUUAUCUUAGUUUAUGAAGCUGAACCCUAGAAGGAGGAUCUUCACAGAGCAACAGCGUCUGCUUGGAAUUCCUCAGCAGAGCUCGGAUGCCACUGAAGCACUGGAAGGUUCAGAAGAAUCCAGAAAAGCAGAAUAACAGGCCAGCUCUGGCCUACCCCAUCCCAUGGGCACUGCAAACCUUGUAGGAAACGUACAGCCUCCUUUGACCAAGGAGCAUGACAAUUUAUAACACAAAUACUGAUCACUCCGCUGCUGCCCUUUAACUUCUCAUCAGUUUCAAACCAUUAGCAAAUUAAGCAAAACCUGGGCACUGAGGCCAACAGAAGAGCAGGACUCACAUUGUGAUUAAUAAAUACUAUUGCAGUAGUGUCUGGAGGCCCCAACCAAGAUCAGGGCCGUGUUGUGCUAGGCACUGAAUAUACACAUAGAGACACUCCCUACCCAAAAGAACUUCCAGGCUGGGCAAGAGAGAUGAAGCGACUGGCCCAAAGUCCCAGGGCAGAUGAGCAGCAGAGCCACAGUUAGAACAGUGAGUCCAAGGCCAGUUCUAUAUCCAUUGGACUAAGCUACCUCUUUAGACAAUGGCUUUCUGCAGGAAUUAAAAUGUACCCCCAAUACCUUGGCAUCAUGGGAUUUUUUUUCUUUGAUCUCAGGUUGCCAUUUAAUGGCCCCAGAUAAGGGACCAUCUGGUCUUCCAUCAUCCAGGAGCCAAAAUAUCAU